GUGAAAUUGUUGAAAGGGAAGCGCUUGCAACCAGACCUGCCUGCAGUUGCUCAUCCGGGCUUUUGCCCGGUGCACUCUUCUGCUGUCAGGCCAGCAUCGGUUCGGGCGGUCGGAUAAAGGCUCCGGGAAUGUAGCUCCUCUCGAGGAGUGUUAUAGCCCGUUGCGAAAUGCGGCCAGCCUGAACCGAGGUCCGCGCUUCGGCUAGGAUGCUGGCGUAAUGGUUGUAAGCGGCCCGUCUUGAAACACGGACCAAGGAGUCUAACAUCUGUGCGAGUGUUUGGGUGUCAAACCCGUACGCGUAAUGAAAGUGAACGGAGGCGGGAACCCCUCGGGGUGCACCGUCGACCGAUCCUGAUGUCUUCGGAUGGAUUUGAGUAAGAGCAUAGCUGUUGGGACCCGAAAGAUGGUGAACUAUGCCUGAAUAGGGUGAAGCCAGAGGAAACUCUGGUGGAGGCUCGCAGCGGUUCUGACGUGCAAAUCGAUCGUCAAAUUUGGGCAUAGGGGCGAAAGACUAAUCGAACUAUCUAGUAGCUGGUUCCUGCCGAAGUUUCCCUCAGGAUAGCAGUAACGUUUUCAGUUUUAUG
rnacentral:rRNA from 1 species